CCUACGGGAGGCAGCAGUGGGGAAUAUUGGACAAUGGGCGAAAGCCUGAUCCAGCAAUGCCGCGUGAGUGAUGAAGGCCUUAGGGUUGUAAAGCUCUUUUACCAGGGAUGAUAAUGACAGUACCUGGAGAAUAAGCUCCGGCUAACUCCGUGCCAGCAGCCGCGGUAAUACGGAGGGAGCUAGCGUUGUUCGGAAUUACUGGGCGUAAGGCGUGCGUAGGCGGUGAUUCAAGUCAGAGGUGAAAGCCUGGAGCUCAACUCCAGAACGGCCUUUGAAACUAGAUCGCUAGAAUUAUGGAGAGGUAAGUGGAAUUCCGAGUGUAGAGGUGAAAUUCGUAGAUAUUCGGAAGAACACCAGUGGCGAAGGCGACUUACUGGACAUAUAUUGACGCUGAGGUACGAAAGCGUGGGGAGCAAACAGGAUUAGAUACCCUGGUAGUCCACGCCGUAAACGAUGAUAACUAGCUGUUCGGGCUCUCAGAGCUUGAGUGGCGCAGCUAACGCAUUAAGUUAUCCGCCUGGGGAGUACGGUCGCAAGNUUAAAACUUAAAUGAAUUGACCGG
rnacentral:rRNA from 1 species